GAUGAAGAACGCAGCGAAAUGCGAUAAGUAAUGUGAAUUGCAGAAUUCAGUGAAUCAUCGAAUCUUUGAACGCACAUUGCGCCCGCCAGUAUUCUGGCGGGCAUGCCUGUUCGAGCGUCAUUUCAACCAUCAAGCCCCCGGCUUGUGUUGGGGACCUGCGGCUGCCGCAGGCCCUGAAAAGCAGUGGCGGGCUCGCUGUCACACCGAGCGUAGUAGAUUUCAUCUCGCUCAGGGCGUGCUGCGGGUUCCGGCCGUUAAACCACCUUCAUAACCCAAGGUUGUCCUCGGAUCAGGUAGGAAGACCCGCUGAACUUAAGCAUAUCAAUAAGCGGAGGA
rnacentral:misc_RNA from 1 species